GACGAACGCUGGCGGCGUGCUUAACACAUGCAAGUCGAGCGGAAAGGCCCUUCGGGGUACUCGAGCGGCGAACGGGUGAGUAACACGUGAGUAACCUGCCCCAGACUUUGGGAUAACCCUCGGAAACGGGGGCUAAUACCGGAUACGACACAGCUUCGCAUUGGGUCUGUGUGGAAAGUUUUUCGGUUUGGGAUGGGCUCGCGGCCUAUCAGCUUGUUGGUGGGGUGAUGGCCUACCAAGGCGACGACGGGUAGCCGGCCUGAGAGGGGGACCGGCCACACUGGGACUGAGACACGGCCCAGACUCCUACGGGAGGCAGCAGUGGGGAAUAUUGUACAAUGGGCGGAAGCCUGAUGCAGCGACGCCGCGUGAGGGAUGACGGCCUUCGGGUUGUAAACCGCUUUCAGCAGGGACGAAGCGUAAGUGACGGUACCUGCAGAAGAAGCGCCGGCCAACUACGUG
rnacentral:rRNA from 1 species